AGGAAAAAAAAAAGUAGAAACUAUUGGUGUAGGCUCUAAUUUUUUACUUGUGUGUUGAUCUUGGGUAGAAUUUAAUCAUCUGAUCAACUUGGAGAAGUUGGAUAUGAGUGGAAAUAGAAUUGAAAGCUUUGGUUCCUUUCAAGGUGUUGAUAGACUACUGCCAUGGAGUAAUCUGGAGGUCCUUAAUUUGGAGCAUAACCUCUUCAAUAACAGUGUUCUUUCUUCCCUUCGUGGACUUCUCCAACUCAAGUCUCUCAAUUUAGCCGAAAACCAAAUGGCGGGGGCUUUCCAUGUUAGAGAGUUGGAAUCGUUAAAGAAGUUAGAGGAGCUAGACAUCAGCAACAAUGCGAUUGAAAAAUUUGUGGGCCCUGAAGGUAUUGAUAAAAUCUUAAAUUGGAUAUAUCAGAUUAUACAGCUUUUAAGCAAAGUCAUUAAAUUUGGUGAAUUUUCAUUCCCGAAACAAAAUCAUGUUGCAUCACGUUACAUUGAUUAUAAGCAUCUAACUUCUUUUUUAAUGGACAAAGAUAUAUCUUGUAUUGUAGUCUUGUAAAUUAUUUCAUUUCAUGGAUGCGAUUUUUAGUAUAUAUCGUCAACUCAGAAUUGUUGGAGCAGAACCUAACAGGAUUGGAGAUUGUUUGUAUUCACUAUUAUAGAUUCGACAACUCUGGACAAGCUUAAGAUCCUCCGAUUAGGCAACUUCCUAAACUAUGGAAAAAGCUUUGUAGUGCUGCAAUCAUUAGGGGGGUUCUCAUCCCUGAAGACACUGGAUCUUCGAUAUAGUAAUCUCAGUGAGACAACAAUCCAUCAAGCGUUAGGCAAUUUGAGCACACUGGAAGAGUUGUUCCUGGAUUAUUCUACUCUCCAUCCAGACUUCCUCUCAAGCAUUGGAAG